GUGCCCAUAGCUCAAUUGGAUAGAGCGUCUGACUACGGAUCAGAAGGCUGGGGGUUCAAAUCCUCUUGGGCACGCCA
rnacentral:tRNA from 2 species